CGUAAGGGGCAAGCGUUGUCCGGAAUCACUGGGCGUAAAGCGCACGUAGGCGGCUUGGCAAGUCAGGGGUGCAAGCUCUAGGCUUAACCUAGAAAUUGCCUCUGAAACUACCUCGCUUGAGUGUCAGAGGGGAAACUGGAAUUCACGGUGUAGCGGUGAAAUGCGUAGAUAUCGUGGAGAACACCCGUGGCGAAGGCGGGUUUCUGGCUGACGACUGACGCUGAGGUGCGAAAGCUAGGGGAGCGAACGGGAUUAGAUACCCCGGUAGUCCUAGCCGUAAACGAUGAGUACUAGGUGUGGGGGUUAACACCUCCGUGCCGACGCCAACGCAUUAAGUACUCCGCCUGGGGACUACGGCCGCAAGGUUA
rnacentral:rRNA from 1 species